rnacentral:rRNA from 1 species
CUACGGGAGGCAGCAGUGGGGAAUAUUGCACAAUGGGCGAAAGCCUGAUGCAGCAACGCCGCGUGAGGGACGACGGCCUUCGGGUUGUAAACCUCUUUUAGCAGGGAAGAAGCGAAAGUGACGGUACCUGCAGAAAAAGCACCGGCUAACUACGUGCCAGCAGCCGCGGUAAUACGUAGGGUGCAAGCGUUGUCCGGAAUUAUUGGGCGUAAAGAGCUCGUAGGCGGUUUGUCGCGUCUGCUGUGAAAAUCCGAGGCUCAACCUCGGACCUGCAGUGGGUACGGGCAAACUAGAGUGCGGUAGGGGAGAUUGGAAUUCCUGGUGUAGCGGUGGAAUGCGCAGAUAUCAGGAGGAACACCAAUGGCGAAGGCAGAUCUCUGGGCCGUAACUGACGCUGAGGAGCGAAAGCGUGGGGAGCGAACAGGAUUAGAUACCCUGGUAGUCCACGCCGUAAACGGUGGGAACUAGAUGUGGGGUCCGUUCCACGGAUUCCGUGUCGCAGCUAACGCAUUAAGUUCCCCGCCUGGGGAGUACGGCCGCAAGGCUAAAACUCAAAGGAAUUGACGG